rnacentral:misc_RNA from 1 species
AGAGACAUGAAGUUUUGGGAUCACGUUUCUGGCCGUGGUGUGGUGGGGGCAGCGCUUAACUUGUCGGUUACCACCAUCGGCGCCGGGGUGCUCGUCAUCCCAUCGACUUUCCAGGACGGAGGAAUUUGCUUUGUGGUGGGCAUGCUCGUCCUCGUUGGAGUUAUGACGGUGCUCUCCAUUGACUACUUGAUCCGGUGCAUUGAUUGUCUUCACCUCAAGUCGUACGAAGACAUCUCACGCGAGCUACUGGGCCGGUGGUUCGAGGAGGCAGUGCGGUGGAUUCUCAUAUUUUACAACAUCGGCAUGGCGGCUGGCUACAUCGUCGUCAUUGGUGAGAUCUUCACCCCAAUACUGCCGCUCCUUCAGCCGUAUCUGCCCUUCCUGACAGACAGCUCGCACGUGAUGAUCAUGACGUGGGCUUUCGUAAUGCUGCCGCUGUCCUGUAUCCCGAAAAUCACAAAGAUGAACUACAUCUGCUUCGUCGCCAUCACGGCCACCUUUCUCAUCUCGGCAAUUAUCGUGUACCGCUACCUUGUCCCCUACGACGGGAAGCACAACCAUGCCAAGGUCACGUAUCUGUCAGUGAGUGAGCGCGCGCUCUUGGCUAUGCCGGUGAUGAUGUUCUCGUUUGACUGCCAGUCCCUCGUGUUUCAGAUCUACAACAAUCUGAGAACGGUCACGCGCGCAAAUAUGAUGAGGGUGGCGUCGCUGAGCGUCAGCAUCACUGGCUUGGUGUACCUAGUCGUUGGGCUGUUUGGCUACCUCACCCACACCCCCAACAUCACCGGCAACAUCCUCGCAAACUACGAUCCUUUCAAGGAUCACCUCUUCGCAUUCGGCGAGGCGGUGUACUCCUUUACAGUGAUGGCCGCCUAUGUCCUCGUUUUGUUCCCCUGUCGCGAUGCCGUGUUCAUUUUCUUGUAUGGCCACAACACGGCGACGCACGAGCUGGCGCAUGCGGCCAUCACCACGCGUCAGAAUUUAGUUACUAGCAUCCUACUAUCGGCCUUGAGCAUCUUUCUGGCCAUGCAAGUCACAGGUAUCGUCGUCGUCAUCGCGCUUCUCGGAGGUCUCUGCAGCAGCACGAUCUGCUUCUCCUAUCCGGCAGCGUUUCGCAUCAUGCUCCACAUCAGGGGCCUGGACCGCUGCAAGCCGAUGGAGCUUGUCACCGCCAUCAGCAUGCUCGUUUUUGGCGUGUUGGGCGGUAGUCUCGGCACUUUCAUCGCCAUUCGGGUAUGACGACGGAAGGGGGCGCAAAAAAAAAGAGGGCUUUAACGAGUGGAUGCCGCCUCUCUCUGUGUCUCUCUGCUUGGCGCCGCUCUCUACCUGUUCAAAGGGAAGCGGGGAGUCUCACGAAGAGUAUGCGAGGACUCGUACAUGUAGCGUGGCAGCAACGGGCAUGAGUGGGCAAAUGGGGGGGGGGGGGGGUGACAAGGGAGACGGUGUUUAUUCCCUUUUCUGUCGGUGACUCCUCCUCUCAUUGUAUCACGUCUGAUCUCCACUUCUGCUCGCAGCCUGCCAAAGCCCCGUCUUGACUGUUGCGCACACGCGCGACAUAAGACAGCUGCAUGUGCAUCUGGUAAUAAUGCUUUUCUCUUUGCUGUUUCACUAAAUGACAUGGAUAACGUCGCAACGGAAUUGAUAAUCGUCCUCCUGGGUGUACGCAUGUGUGCGUGGUUGUAUGCAGAAGAGCGCGCGAGCUUCGCGGCCCUCUCCACACUGUAUCUUGUUGUUUGGCGUCGUCUUUCUGCUGCUGGGGUCUGCUUUCAAUGGAACAAUCUCCUUUGAUAAACUUAACACUUCUCACGUGCUGUAGAUGGAAAAAUGCUCUGGGGCGUGUGUUGAGGGCGGUGGUGUGUGUAUUGUGUAUGUUGUUUUAUCGCUAGAAAAAGGAACGUUGGCCUUGAGCACAGUGCCUCGACGAAAGAGGGUGGGGGUGAGAAACGCUGCCGGUGAGUGUAUGUGUCGUAUCAGUGUUCAUUUGCCCUGCGCCCUUCACCAUCCUUCAGUGCUUUUUUUUAUUGUUCUUCUGCUCGUUAUGCGAGGUCCACCGGCGGCUCCUGCCCGGGACUCACCGAAAUACACUGUGAG